AGAGGCUUCUUCGAGCAAAGGCGAUUGUACCGGUCCCAGUGCACUCCAGUGCGGUGGCUUCUGCUGAAAUGUGCUCGGGACCGGCGCUUAGCUCCGGGGAGCUCCAUACUUUCGUCUUUCCAGACUUUUGUGGUCUACAUCAUUGCAGAACGGUUUUCCACUAUGUCUGGCAAGGAGAAACUGUGCCAGCACAGAAAACAUCUCCCAUCGUGUUUUACAUGUUGCAGAGAGCUCUUCUGAGUGUUUUGCACGUAGAAAAAGAAAGUUGUCCAAAACACCUUCCAAUCGAAUGUUCAUGUGUUUGGAAAAGUUAGGAGAGUGAUAAAGUACUGUUUUCUAUCAGUAUGCAAGCUGCGCACACUAUCCCAGUGUUGUGCAGCUUCAUUCUUCACCUUUCCGAUGCAGCUGCUCUCUCCGGCUCCCGGAGGCGAAGAAGCGGCUUCUUCGCGCAAAGGUGGUUGUGCCGGUCACAGUGCAGUCCAGUGCGGCGGCAUCUGUUGAAAUGUGCCCGGGCCGGGGCAUAGCUCCGGGGAGCUUCGUACCUUCGUCUUUAGCGUCAUUUUUUUCUACAUCAUUGCUGAAAGGUUUUCUACUAUGUUAGGCAGGGAGAAACUCUGCCAGCACAGAAAACAUCUCCCAUCGUGUUUUACAUGUUGCAGAGAUGUCUGCGGAGUGUUUUGCAAGAAGAAAAAGAAAGUUGUCCAAAACACCUUCCAACCGAAUGUUCAUGUGUUUGGAAAAGGUAGGAGUGGUAAGGUACUGUUUUCUAUCAGUUUGCAAGCUGCGCACGCUAUCCCAGUAUUGUGCAGCUUCAUUCUUCACCUGUCCGAAGCAGCCGCUCUCUCCGGCUCUCGGAGGCGAAGAAGCGGCUUCUUCGCUCAAAGGCGAUUGUACCGGUCACUGUGCUCUGCAGUGCGGCGGCAUCUGUCGAAAUAUGCCCGGGACCGGGGCAUAACUCCGGGGAGCUCCGUAUCCUUCAUCUUUAGUGUCUUUUGUGGUCUACAAAAUUGCAGAAUGGUUUUCCCCUAUGUCUGGCAAGGAGAAACUGUGCCACCACAGAAAACAUCUCCCAUCGUGUUCUAGAAGUCUCACGCAGGUCUGCUGAAUGUUUGGCAAGAAGAUAAAGAAAGUUGUCCAAAAGACCUUCCAACCGAAUUUUCAUGUGUUUGGAAAACGUAGGAGAGUGGUAAGGUACUGUUUUCUAUCACUUUGCAAGCUGCGCACACAAUACCAGUGUUGUGCAGCUUCCUUCUUCACCUUUCCGAAGCUGCCGCUCUCUCCGGCUUUCGGAGGCGAA
rnacentral:lncRNA from 1 species